AGAAAUUUACAUCUUUAAAAAAAUCUCCACAUAGUCAAGAAAACUUCUUUUUCUUUGGAGCUAUUUACAGCUUUUAACAAUUGAAUAAAUUAUAGUCCUGUGAGCAAAAUUUGGAGCAUAUUUCUUUGUGUCUACCUGAUUUAUCUAGAAUUUGAAAACAAUUUAAAUCUGUGCUGUACCUGACCUUGUGAAUCAGAAGUUUCACCCAAGGAUCUAUACAUUUAUGAAGCUCCACAGAUUAUCUUGAGACACGCAAGGUUGAGGACCAUUGGCCCAUCUAGGAGGUUGUGCACACAUGACUCCUGUUUCUGUGGUGAAAAUAGAGUUCUGUUGGAGGUCCUCCUUACCACUGAUGGCUUCUUAGUGCGUGAGAGAGUCUGCCCCCAGCCUGGCAGUGCUGCUCCCUGCACAGGUCCCCUCAGCCCUGGGCCCCACACUGAGGUUCCUGAAGACAAUGCCCCGGACUGAGUCAGACCCUGCCUUGGGACGUGGUUAGAGAGCCCACCCCAGACAGAGCUCUGUGGAUUCCCAGUGGGCCCUCUGCUGGAGGAAGGAGGCCCUGCUACUCACUCCCAAAGAAAGCAGCAAUCAUUUCAUUGCAGAGGGAAGAAAAUGCUCCCCAGGUCAGGGGAAGGGACUCUCUGCAUCCCUGGAAGGACCGAAAAAAGCAGGGUCCAGCUUACCCUUAUCCCCAUGACCAUAACUCUGUGUCUCUUGUUGGUUUUAGGGGUGGAUUCUUAGUCUGUGGUGACCCAGGAGCCAUCACUCUUAGGGCCUCCUGGAGGGACGGUCACACUCACCUGUGCCCUGAGCUCUGGCUCAGUCUCUACCAGUCACUACCCCAGCUGGUACCAGCAGACCCCAGGCCAGGUUCCACAUAUACUCAUCUGCAGCCCAAACACCUGCCCUUCUGGGGUCCCUGGGCGCUUCUCUGGCUCCAUCCUUGGGAACAAAGCUGCCCUCACCGUCACGGGAACUCAGUAGAUGAUGACUCUGAUCAUUACUAUGUGCCAUACAUGGGUAGUGGCAAUUCCACAGUGAUUUAAACCCAUAAGGAGGUACAACUAAAACCACUUUACAUACUCAGAACGAUUCAGCCCUUAGAGGCAGGAGAGAAGGUGAGAAGGUGGGAACGUCAACACCAUGAGCAGGGAGCCUCCUUGCCCCAGUGUCCUGUGCAAGGGUUCACUGCCAGGUGCCUUAUCCAGUCUCUCCCAGGGUGUGUCCAUCUCCCCAGUGUGAUGCUUCCGUGAAUACAUAAACUCACAGUGAGUCACAGAGACGCCCGUGCUCCAGAAAGACUCUUCUUAUUCAGAGAGAGUCAACAGACAUAUGCUCAUUCAUUAAUUUGUCCAUGGAGACCAAUUUGUAUUUUAUUUAUCACUGAAGUAAGGGCCUUGCUGAGUGCCUUGUUAAAAAUGCAAUUUGCCAAUCUAGACCUACUGAAUCAGAAACUUGUGUUGGUGCCUAAUAAUAUGUAUUUAACAAGAUGUACAUGAGACUUUUGUUAGCAUUAAUAUUUGGGAAGAGCCUACUUUUAUUAUUAUGAAAUUAUUCCUGGGAGUCUCUGUUUAAAAUGAUCUCAGGUAAUAUUCCAUGACCCCACUCUCCUAAAUUGCCAUUCAAAACCUCCAGAAUGCUCAGAAACAGACUUAAAAUCUCAAGCCAUGGCCAAAUUUAUAACUUUAUUUCUGCAGACAGAGAUGGGAGGAAUUUCCAAAACCAUACAUUCUUAGGUGCCAGGUGUGGUGACUCCUGCCUAUAAUACCUAAUACUUUGGGAGGCUAAGGCAUGAGGAUUUCUUGAGGCCAGGAGUUUGAGACCAUCCUCCUCCACAUAGUGAGUGAGAUUCCAUCACUACAAAAAAAAAA